GUUUGUUUGUUUUUCUGAGAUGGAGACUCGCUAUGCCACCCAGGCUGCAGUGCAGCAACAUGAUUUCAGCUCACUGCAACCUCUACCUCCCAGGUUCAAGUGAUUGUGUACCUCAUCUUCCUGGGCAGCUGGAACUACAGGUGCACGCCACCAUGCCUGGCUAAGUUUUGUAUUUUUCAUAGAGACGGCGUUUCACCAUGUUGGCCAGGCUGCUCUUGAACUCCUGACCUUACGUGAUUCUCUCACCUCGGUCUCCCAAAGUGCUGGGAUUACAGGCAUGAGAUACCACACCUGGCUUUGAUGUCCAUUUUAGAAAGUACUAUGGGCUGGGUGCAGUGGCUCACAUCUGUAAUCCCAGCACUUUGGGAGAUCGAGGUGAGCAGAUCACCUGAGGUCAGGAGUUUGAGACCAGCCUCUCUAACAUGGAGAAACCCUGUCUCUACUAAAAAUACAAAAUUGGCCCAGAGUGGUGGCGCAUGCCUGUAAUCCCAACUACUCAGGAGGCUAAGGCAGGAGAAUUGCUUGAACCCAGAAAGCAGAGGUUGCACUAAGCUGAGAUUGCAACAUUGCCCUCCAGCCUGAGCAACAAGAGUAAAACUCCAUCUCAAAAAAAAAAAAAAAAGUACUAUGUAGGCCAGGCGCAGUGCCUCAACCCUGUAAUCCCAAGUAGCUGGGAUUACAGGUGCGCACCAUCAUACCCGAUUAAUUUUUUUUUUUUUUUGGCAGAGAUAAGGAUCUCACUAUGUUGUGCAGGCUGGUCUAGAACUCCUGGACUCAAGCAAUCCCCCUGCCUCAGUCUUCUAAAGUUCUGGGAUUACAGGCAUGAACCACUGUACCCAGCCUCUCUUUCUUCAUUACUUUGCUUCCUUCCCUGAUUCUGUACGUAUCUCUCAUUCUCCCCUUCUCUCUCUAGCUCUUGUUUUAUUUUCCCCCGGGGUUCUGCUCCUCAUUUUGUACCUCUCUCCUCUCCUGCUGUUUAUCCCCUUCUUCACUCUAUUCCUUCUCUUCCACCUCUUCUGCUCCAUCCUUGUAACUUAUCUAACAUCUUGCUGCUCUUCUCCCCAAUCUUUUGAUCAUCCUCUAUCUCUAUAUGGACAGAAAUUUAAAAAUAAUAAGUACUGCAUUUAUUCACUCCAAGAAAAG
rnacentral:lncRNA from 1 species